UACGUAGGGCGCAAGCAUUAUCCGGAAUUAUUGGGCGUAAAGAGCUCGUAGGCGGUUUGUCGCGUCUGCCGUGAAAGUCCGGGGCUCAACUCCGGAUCUGCGGUGGGUACGGGCAGACUAGAGUGAUGUAGGGGAGACUGGAAUUCCUGGUGUAGCGGUGAAAUGCGCAGAUAUCAGGAGGAACACCGAUGGCGAAGGCAGGUCUCUGGGCAUUAACUGACGCUGAGGAGCGAAAGCAUGGGGAGCGAACAGG
rnacentral:rRNA from 1 species